GCCCCUGUGGCGGAAUUGGUAGACGCGGCAGACUCAAAAUCUGUUGCCGGCAACGGCGUGCUGGUUCGAGUCCGGCCAGGGGCA
rnacentral:tRNA from 1 species